CCUACGGGAGGCAGCAGUGAGGAAUAUUGGUCAAUGGGCGCUAGCCUGAACCAGCCAAGUAGCGUGCAGGAUGACUGCCCUAUGGGUUGUAAACUUCUUUUAUAUGGGAAUAAAGUGCAGUAUGUAUACUGCUUUGCAUGUACCUUAUGAAUAAGGAUCGGCUAACUCCGUGCCAGCAGCCGCGGUAAUACGGAGGAUCCGAGCGUUAUCCGGAUUUAUUGGGUUUAAAGGGAGCGUAGGCGGGUUGGUAAGUCAGUUGUGAAAGUUUGCGGCUCAACCGUAAAAUUGCAGUUGAUACUGGCAGCCUUGAGUACAGUAGAGGUAGGCGGAAUUCGUGGUGUAGCGGUGAAAUGCUUAGAGAUCACGAAGAACUCCGAUUGCGAAGGCAGCCUGCUGGACUGUAACUGACGCUGAUGCUCGAAAGUGUGGGUAUCAAACAGGAUUAGAUACCCUAGUAGUC
rnacentral:rRNA from 1 species